rnacentral:lncRNA from 1 species
CCCGAGGCUGUCGCGGGCGGUUAGGUCCGGCGGGAGCUUCUGUUUCACUGGCGCGCCCACUAUGACGAUCACCUACAGCUGCAUUGCUAAUGGCCGAAUGGUCUUAGCGGAGUUGGCCCUGACCGGCGGCUCCUAUCAGCUUCGUCUACCAUACUCUCUUUAUUGAUGGAAUCACUUACCUAUGUGCCUCAGACAAUGCCCUGGAUACUGUAACACCAUCUGCAUUUCUCAAAAAUGUUAGUGAUACUUUUCUGAGAAAUCCUUUGCUGUCAGAAGAAUAUUUUUCUCCUUCAAAUGCAGUUGCUGCAGAUUUUCAACAAGUAUUAGGAAAGUAUAUGGUAAAAUACAAUAAAAACCAAGAUAACAGCUCUAUAUCCACCCUGAGGAGUCAAGUAACUGAUGUAAAAAAUGCUAUGACCCAAAAUAUUGAUAAAAUUUUGGAGAGCGAAGAAAGAUCAAAUAUCUUCCCCGACAGUACAGAUGAUCUUCAAACAGCUGUCAAAGAAUCCCAAAAAACAAGACAGAUUCUUAGGAGGAUAUGGUGGAAACACUUCAAAAAGAUUAUAAUCAUCACUGUGGCAAUUCUCCUUUCAAUCAUCAUCAUUCUUUUAACUACAAAUGUAAUACCAAUCUGACCUUUCUUCUCCCCAUCCCCAGCAGGUUAGUAUGUUGUUUCUGGGGGACAGACAGGAAUGUGAAGAGGAGUACUCUGAGAAGAGGAAUUGUCAUGUAUUUUGCUGCCAUGACUUUUGAAGCCCUAUAAAAUUUGCCUCCUAACAUUUCUGUAAUUUUUAUUAUGUAUAAAAACAAAGUAUUUGUAUCCUGAUUGCCAGUGAGUACUAGCGUAUUUAUUGCUAGAAGACAUGGAACUUAAAGGUCACCUAAUCUAGC